AUUGAACGCUGGCGGCAGGCUUAACACAUGCAAGUCGAGCGGAGAUGAGGUGCUUGCACCUUAUCUUAGCGGCGGACGGGUGAGUAAUGCUUAGGAAUCUGCCUAUUAGUGGGGGACAACGUUUCGAAAGGAACGCUAAUACCGCAUACGCCCUACGGGGAAAGCAGGGAUCACUUGUGACCUUGCGCUAAUAGAUGAGCCUAAGCCAGAUUAGCUAGUUGGUGGGUAAAGGCCUACCAAGGCGACGAUCUGUAGCGGGUCUGAGAGGAUGAUCCGCCACACUGGGACUGAGACACGGCCCAGACUCCUACGGGAGGCAGCAGUGGGGAAUAUUGGACAAUGGGGGGAACCCUGAUCCAGCCAUGCCGCGUGUGUGAAGAAGGCCUUUGGUGUUAAAGCACUUUAAGCGGGGAAGGAGGGCUACUCUGGUUAAUACCUGGAG
rnacentral:rRNA from 1 species